rnacentral:rRNA from 1 species
GACGAACGCUGGCGGCGUGCCUAACACAUGCAAGUCGAACGGAAAGGCCCUGCUUUUGUGGGGUGCUCGAGUGGCGAACGGGUGAGUAUCACGUGAGUAACCUGCCCUUGUCUUUGGGAUAACUUCAGGAAACUGGGGCUAAUACCGGAUAGGAGAUCCUGCAGCAUGGUGGGGAUUGGAAAGUCUCGGCGGUUGGGGAUGGACUCGCGGCUUAUCAGCUUGUUGGUGGGGUAGUGGAUUACCAAGGCUUUGACGGGUAGCCGGCCUGGGAGGGUGAACGGCGACAUUGGGACUGAGAUACGGCGCAGACUCCUACGGGAGGCAGCGGGGGGGAAUAUUGCACAAUGGGCGGGAGCCUGAUGCAGCAGCGCUGCGUGCGGAAUGACGGCCUUCUGGGUGUAAACCGCUUUCGCCUGUGACGAAGCGUGAGUGACGGUAAUGAGUAAAGAAGCACCGGCUAACUACGUG